GAUCUAAACACGUCGAAUCAGCAAGAAAGAAUUUUAUUAAAUAAUUUCUAGCCCAGUUCCAUUUACACAAACUAAAACAAAACUAUAAAAGUGACGGAAUCUUCCAUUGACAUUGUGCCUCUUUAAUUUCAACUCAACUGAAAACCUACAUGAGGUUGUGAUUCAGAAUAUGUUCCUGGCUUUGAGAUGAAAUAAGGGAAUGAAAGUCAGUUGAGGAAUAUAGAACAAGCAGCAACAGUAUGAAUUCAAACAACCCAGCAAUUUAGAAUCAACAAAUGACUCAAAUUGAAAUCUGGAAAUGCAAGAAUGCCAAAUCCACACAGAACUGAACCAACAAACCCAAAAUCAGCUUGAAGCAACUUAUAUUAACUCGAAACUACCCAGAAUCACCAAAACACCUUCAACAAACUCAUAUUUCAACCAGAAAAAAGCUUAAACAAAUCCAAAACUGCAGGAAGCAACACUUUGAGGUUUCAAAACCCAACUGUUGAACUAAAACUGGAAAAAUCAGCAACUGAUGUGGAAACCACCUUAAAUCAUCUAAUGGAACAGUAAUAUUUUUGAGUUUUCUAUUAGAUUUUUCUACUGUUUUUGGUUUUUCUGAAUUUAAAAAAAAAAUAACUACUGAUGCAUGAGGAAAUCGAAGGAAAUAGCUGAAUAUGAAUAUUUUUUAGGGCUGAAAAGAGAGACCCUUUUUUUUUUUUGGUUUUUUAGAGUUUUUGUUUUUGAUUUUGGGUUUUUGAAUCUAAGGAGAACUAGAACCUACAAUUUCUAAAUUGAAAUUAAGCUUCAAAUCUGAAAAAUGAGCAGUCUACUAAGGAAUUUUUGGCUCAAGGAACCAACCCCGUUUUCAAGGCAUCUAAUGCCUUUUUAUAGAAGUAAAAUAGGGCAGCCCCCAAAUAUUCCUUUUUCCUAUAGUCCCUGCUACUUUUAUUCAGUUAGUCCUCUAAUUCGUAGCUUGUUAUUCAAGUAAAUACUCUAACUCUAUUGAAAACUACAUACAAGUCCUAUUCUAGAAGCCUCUAGGGCACUCUUUGAGCAAGACAAUCCCUAUACUACCCUUCCUCUCAAAAUAUCUGAACCCUCACAUGCCGUUCCAGCCUUAUCCUCUAGAAGCUUCCCCAUAACAGAAAAUAUUCCACUCCUCAAAUCACCAAAACAUCCCUGAACAGCCUUGAAAAUACUAACCCUCUACUAACUAAACCAAACCAUUACCCCAGUCAAAAAGAAUUAGCCCUCCAAUCUAAACCCAUGUAAAGAUGGGUCAAGCUUGACCUAACCCUUAUCGAGAGUGGUCCCAAAUCCCAUCCAUAUCAGAAAUUCAUUUGAUGAAAUAGGAAACAAAAGAGGUUAAUUAGUUGAUUUCUUUUGAACACUAAAACUAGACUCAAACGACUAAUUUCCUUUUAAUCAAAUUAAUGGGCUACCAAUUCUAAUUAACCCAGGCUAGAUAUAUGACUGGAAAACAAGUCAUAACUUAACGGGCAAGAUACACAGACAGAACUCACGAAAAUUUCUACAAAGAAACUGGAAGACUCGCGGAAUAAAUACAACCACCAUACGAAUAGGGAAAACCUAUAUUCAGUGUUUUAAAUCCCACCAAAUUCAACUAAGAAAUAAAUCUAAAGGGAACCAGAAGAGAAACGAGGGUCACAUAAGUAGAAAAUGAACAAAACGGAUGAAGGAGACGAGGGAAAGAUAAAUAUACCUAGGUAAUUGCACGAACAGAGCUUGAUAACUUCAGGCGACCUUGAUUUGACGUGAAACUAGUAUUAACCGCAUGUUCUUUCAUGACCAAACAAGUAACAACCGUUUAAAGCCUAAUCGCUUAUAAGAACUUGCAAACUUCGACGAUCUAUUUCCUUCGAUUGAGAUUAAAACCUUGACUGGUUUGGCUAGGAUUCGGGGAGAACAAAAUUGGAUUAUGACUCAGGGAGGGGUCACAGUUGCAUGGUUGUAUUUGUUGUGAUUUGAGCUUUCACCGGUGGUGAUGGCGGGUUAGGGUUGCUGGUUUAGGUGAAAUGAAGAAGAAGAAUAGACAUGAUGUCUUCA
rnacentral:lncRNA from 1 species